AAGCAAGGCACCCGUGACCUGGCAGCGCCGCUGUAAAUGAUACUCAGCGCUUACCUCUGAGCGACUUUUAAAAAGUGUUACAGGAACGGAGAGAUUUGGGGAAUAUGAAAUUUAAUAUUGCUGCUAAGCAUGAAAAGCAGGCCUGAUCCUGUGUGGAAUUCACUGUGAAGGAUGGAGAGGGAAGAGAGAAGUGUGGCUGAAAGGAGAAGGAGGCUGCGGCGAAUCUACUGAACGAUGACGAAGGCGGACCUGCAGCCCACAGCAUGACGUGACCCGCGCGUUCACGCUACUGCCUGCUAAAAUAAAAAAGGAAAGGAGAAAAACGAUAGAAAAAAACAGAACAAGUGGGGAAAAAACGUCGACGCUGGGACCGAGGCGUUUUACGCAGACUUCCGGCAUAUGAGUGUCGGCGAUCGGGCGACAGCAGCGCCAGCGGCUCACGCCAACAGCCAAAAACAAGCUUCAAAGUGAAAAAUAAAGCACGAUUACC